rnacentral:rRNA from 1 species
CCUACGGGCGGCAGCAGUGGGGAAUUUUGGACAAUGGGGGCAACCCUGAUCCAGCCAUGCCGCGUGCGGGAAGAAGGCCUUCGGGUUGUAAACCGCUUUUGUCAGGGAAGAAAUCUUCCGAGCUAAUACCUUGGGAGGAUGACGGUACCUGAAGAAUAAGCACCGGCUAACUACGUGCCAGCAGCCGCGGUAAUACGUAGGGUGCAAGCGUUAAUCGGAAUGAGCGCGCGUAAAGCGUGCGCACGCGGGUGAAAUCCCCGGGCUUAACCUGGGAACUGCACUUGUGACUGUACGGCUGGAGUACGGCAGAGGUGGAUGGAAUUCCGCGUGUAGCAGUGAAAUGCGUAGAUAUGCGGAGGAACACCGAUGGCGAAGGCAGUCCCCUGGGCCUGUACUGACGCUCAUGCACGAAAGCGUGGGGAGCAAACAGGAUUAGAUACCCUGGGAGUC